rnacentral:rRNA from 1 species
CAUAACUACAAGUAUUUGUUUGUAGCAUUUUCUGCUCAAUGAAAUAUCUUAAAUAGCCGCAGUACCUUGACUGUGCAAAGGUAGCAUAAUCAAUUGGCUUAUAAUUGAAGUCUGGAAUGAAAGAAUGUAUGGGUGGUUACUGUUUCUAAGAAUUAAAAGGAAAUUACUUAUAAAGUGAAAAUUCUUUAAGGUAUAUAUUAGACGAGAAGACCCUGGAAAUUUAUAAAAAUAUUUUGUUGGGGCGACGUAGUAACAUUUUAACUUAUUUUAUUUUGCUUGAAAUAAAUUUUUAGCUAGGAAAAAUUACUCCAGGGAUAACAGCAUAAUUUAUAAAAGUUUGUGACCUCGAUGUUGGACUAGGGUGGGUUGUUGUUUAGAAGAUAAAAUCCCAGGUUCUGUUCGAACUAAAAUCCCUAC